rnacentral:rRNA from 1 species
AAUGAACGUUGGCGGCAUGGAUUAGGCAUGCAAGUCGCGCGAUAAGAUUCCUUCGGGAAUCCGAAAGCGGCGAAAGGGAGAGUAACGCGUAGAUGAUCUACCCCGAGGACUGGGAUAGCGGCGGGAAACUGCCGGUAAUACCAGAUGAUGUCUCCGGACCAAGGGUGUGAUUCCGCCUUGGGAUGAAUCUGCGUCCUAUUAGCUAGUUGGUGAGGUAACGGCUCACCAAGGCGAAGAUGGGUACCGGGUGUGAGAGCAUGACCCGGCUCACUGGGACUGAGACACUGCCCAGACACCUACGGGUGGCUGCAGUCGAGAAUCUUCGGCAAUGGGCGAAAGCCUGACCGAGCAAUGCCGCGUGCGGGAUGAAGGCCU